rnacentral:rRNA from 2 species
GAGUGGCGAACUGGUGAGUAACACGUGGGAAACCUGCCCAGAAGCGGGGGAUAACACCUGGAAACAGAUGCUAAUACCGCAUAACAACUUGGACCGCAUGGUCCGAGUUUGAAAGAUGGCUUCGGCUAUCACUUUUGGAUGGUCCCGCGGCGUAUUAGCUAGAUGGUGGGGUAACGGCUCACCAUGGCAAUGAUACGUAGCCGACCUGAGAGGGUAAUCGGCCACAUUGGGACUGAGACACGGCCCAAACUCCUACGGGAGGCAGCAGUAGGGAAUCUUCCACAAUGGACGAAAGUCUGAUGGAGCAACGCCGCGUGAGUGAAGAAGGGUUUCGGCUCGUAAAACUCUGUUGUUAAAGAAGAACAUAUCUGAGAGUAACUGUUCAGGUAUUGACGGUAUUUAACCAGAAAGCCACGGCUAACUACGUGCCAGCAGCCGCGGUAAUACGUAGGUGGCAAGCGUUGUCCGGAUUUAUUGGGCGUAAAGCGAGCGCAGGCGGUUUUUUAAGUCUGAUGUGAAAGCCUUCGGCUCAACCGAAGAAGUGCAUCGGAAACUGGGAAACUUGAGUGCAGAAGAGGACAGUGGAACUCCAUGUGUAGCGGUGAAAUGCGUAGAUAUAUGGAAGAACACCAGUGGCGAAGGCGGCUGUCUGGUCUGUAACUGACGCUGAGGCUCGAAAGUAUGGGUAGCAAACAGGAUUAGAUACCCUGGUAGUCCAUACCGUAAACGAUGAAUGCUAAGUGUUGGAGGGUUUCCGCCCUUCAGUGCUGCAGCUAACGCAUUAAGCAUUCCGCCUGGGGAGUACGGCCGCAAGGCUGAAACUCAAAGGAAUUGACGGGGGCCCGCACAAGCGGUGGAGCAUGUGGUUUAAUUCGAAGCUACGCGAAGAACCUUACCAGGUCUUGACAUACUAUGCAAAUCUAAGAGAUUAGACGUUCCCUUCGGGGACAUGGAUACAGGUGGUGCAUGGUUGUCGUCAGCUCGUGUCGUGAGAUGUUGGGUUAAGUCCCGCAACGAGCGCAACCCUUAUUAUCAGUUGCCAGCAUUAAGUUGGGCACUCUGGUGAGACUGCCGGUGACAAACCGGAGGAAGGUGGGGAUGACGUCAAAUCAUCAUGCCCCUUAUGACCUGGGCUACACACGUGCUACAAUGGAUGGUACAACGAGUUGCGAACUCGCGAGAGUAAGCUAAUCUCUUAAAGCCAUUCUCAGUUCGGAUUGUAGGCUGCAACUCGCCUACAUGAAGUCGGAAUCGCUAGUAAUCGCGGAUCAGCAUGCCGCGGUGAAUACGUUCCCGGGCCUUGUACACACCGCCCGUCACACCAUGAGAGUUUGUAACACCCAAAGUCGGUGGGGUAACCUUUUAGGAACCAGCCGCCUAAG